rnacentral:rRNA from 2 species
CAGUCGAACGAACUCUGGUAUUGAUUGGUGCUUGCAUCAUGAUUUACAUUUGAGUGAGUGGCGAACUGGUGAGUAACACGUGGGAAACCUGCCCAGAAGCGGGGGAUAACACCUGGAAACAGAUGCUAAUACCGCAUAACAACUUGGACCGCAUGGUCCGAGUUUGAAAGAUGGCUUCGGCUAUCACUUUUGGAUGGUCCCGCGGCGUAUUAGCUAGAUGGUGGGGUAACGGCUCACCAUGGCAAUGAUACGUAGCCGACCUGAGAGGGUAAUCGGCCACAUUGGGACUGAGACACGGCCCAAACUCCUACGGGAGGCAGCAGUAGGGAAUCUUCCACAAUGGACGAAAGUCUGAUGGAGCAACGCCGCGUGAGUGAAGAAGGGUUUCGGCUCGUAAAACUCUGUUGUUAAAGAAGAACAUAUCUGAGAGUAACUGUUCAGGUAUUGACGGUAUUUAACCAGAAAGCCACGGCUAACUACGUGCCAGCAGCCGCGGUAAUACGUAGGUGGCAAGCGUUGUCCGGAUUUAUUGGGCGUAAAGCGAGCGCAGGCGGUUUUUUAAGUCUGAUGUGAAAGCCUUCGGCUCAACCGAAGAAGUGCAUCGGAAACUGGGAAACUUGAGUGCAGAAGAGGACAGUGGAACUCCAUGUGUAGCGGUGAAAUGCGUAGAUAUAUGGAAGAACACCAGUGGCGAAGGCGGCUGUCUGGUCUGUAACUGACGCUGAGGCUCGAAAGUAUGGGUAGCAAACAGGAUUAGAUACCCUGGUAGUCCAUACCGUAAACGAUGAAUGCUAAGUGUUGGAGGGUUUCCGCCCUUCAGUGCUGCAGCUAACGCAUUAAGCAUUCCGCCUGGGGAGUACGGCCGCAAGGCUGAAACUCAAAGGAAUUGACGGGGGCCCGCACAAGCGGUGGAGCAUGUGGUUUAAUUCGAAGCUACGCGAAGAACCUUACCAGGUCUUGACAUACUAUGCAAAUCUAAGAGAUUAGACGUUCCCUUCGGGGACAUGGAUACAGGUGGUGCAUGGUUGUCGUCAGCUCGUGUCGUGAGAUGUUGGGUUAAGUCCCGCAACGAGCGCAACCCUUAUUAUCAGUUGCCAGCAUUAAGUUGGGCACUCUGGUGAGACUGCCGGUGACAAACCGGAGGAAGGUGGGGAUGACGUCAAAUCAUCAUGCCCCUUAUGACCUGGGCUACACACGUGCUACAAUGGAUGGUACAACGAGUUGCGAACUCGCGAGAGUAAGCUAAUCUCUUAAAGCCAUUCUCAGUUCGGAUUGUAGGCUGCAACUCGCCUACAUGAAGUCGGAAUCGCUAGUAAUCGCGGAUCAGCAUGCCGCGGUGAAUACGUUCCCGGGCCUUGUACACACCGCCCGUCACACCAUGAGAGUUUGUAACACCCAAAGUCGGUGGGGUAAC